rnacentral:rRNA from 1 species
CACGGGGGGAGCAAGCGUUGUUCGGAUUCAUUGGGCGUAAAGAGCUCGUAGGCGGCUCCGUAAGUCGAGGGUGAAAUACAACGGCUCAACCGUUGGAACGCCUUCGAAACUACAGAGCUUGAGGUCGGGAGAGGAAAGCGGAAUUCCUGGAGUAGCGGUGAAAUGCGUAGAUAUCAGGAGGAACACCAGUGGCGAAGGCGGCUUUCUGGACCGAUUCUGACGCUGAGGAGCGAAAGCCAGGGGAGCAAACAGGAUUAGAUACCCGAGUA